rnacentral:rRNA from 1 species
CCUACGGGGGGCAGCAGUGAGGAAUAUUGGUCAAUGGACGAGAGUCUGAACCAGCCAAGUAGCGUGAAGGAUGACUGCCCUAUGGGUUGUAAACUUCUUUUAUAUGGGAAUAAAAUGUUCCACGUGUGGGAUUUUGUAUGUACCCUAUGAAUAAGGAUCGGCUAACUCCGUGCCAGCAGCCGCGGUAAUACGGAGGAUCCGAGCGUUAUCCGGAUUUAUUGGGUUUAAAGGGAGCGUAGGUGGAUUGUUAAGUCAGUUGUGAAAGUUUGCGGCUCAACCGUAAAAUUGCAGUUGAAACUGGCAGUCUUGAGUACAGUAGAGGUGGGCGGAAUUCGUGGUGUAGCGGUGAAAUGCUUAGAUAUCACGAAGAACUCCGAUUGCGAAGGCAGUUCACUGGACUGCAACUGACACUGAGGCUCGAAAGUGUGGGUAUCAAACAGGAUUAGAUACCCCUGUAGUC